AUAUCUCUCCGUACGGGAAGGAUGAGAAGCUUCGACUAAGGUUCGAUUCGAGCGCAGCGAGAACGCGUUGCCGCAGGCAACGACCCGAAGGGCGAAGCGCG
rnacentral:sRNA from 2 species